rnacentral:rRNA from 1 species
GACGAACGCUGGCGGCGUGCUUAACACAUGCAAGUCGAACGGAAAGGCCCUGCUUUUGUGGGGUGCUCGAGUGGCGAACGGGUGAGUAACACGUGAGUAACCUGCCCUUGACUUUGGGAUAACUUCAGGAAACUGGGGCUAAUACCGGAUAGGAGCUCCUGCUGCAUGGUGGGGGUUGGAAAGUUUCGGCGGUUGGGGAUGGACUCGCGGCUUAUCAGCUUGUGGGUGGGGUAGUGGCUUACCAAGGCUUUGACGGGUAGCCGGCCUGAGAGGGUGAGCGGCCACAUUGGGACUGAGAUACGGCCCAGACUCCUACGGGAGGCAGCAGUGGGGAAUAGUGCACAAUGGGCGGAAGCCUGAUGCAGCAACGCCGCGUGCGGGAUGACGGCCUUCGGGUUGUAAACCGCUUUCGCCUGGGACGAAGCGUGAGUGACGGUAAUGGGUAAAGAAGCACCGGCUAACUACGUG